AUCCUUCUUUGAGGUGUUAUUUUCCUCUUCUUCUCCAUCUCUCCCUCAAACCUUUAUAUAUCAAAUUUUUGCUUCAUCUUUAUUUUCUUGCUUAUCACAAGAAAAUUAAGAUUGGUUUGCCUUUUCUUUUCCUUUUUUUUUCCUGUUCUUUUUUUCAAGAAUUAACUGGUUCUUGUAUGUCAGAUAUUUUAUGUUUUUCACUAAUUAUUUGCAGUAUGUGAUCUACCUACAGGUUACAGGAGGUCAUAUAGAUAUAUGAUUAUGAAUUAGCAAUCAUGAACAAAUUUUGAAUCCCUUCUUUUUGGCGAUUUUGGCAUUAUUCUUACUCGAAAUUUUCCAUAAAUAUAUCUUUUUGUCACAAUCUAACCAGAGAAAUCAGACCCACAUACCAAAAUCUGUGACUUCUGAAAUCACAUAGCUAGCUUUCUAUUCUUUUUCUUUUUCUUUUGUGCUUUCUGUUUUUCCCAAUUUAUUCAUGAUAUUUAUAUAAUAAAGUUUGAAUAUAAUUUUGAAUUACCGAAAGCAGGAUUUGUUUUGUUUUCUUUGGUAGCUAAUAUGUUGAAGAAUGAGUUCAGCCCUGGAGGGUGGAUUCUUCUCCGGCACCCUUCACGUAAUCCUUUUGGAUUUUAACCAGUGGUAACUGGCCACGUCAGAUAGUGCUCGUGGCUUUGUUGCUACAUGGGUUGCAGAAGAUUUUCUUUAAUAAUCACAAAAUACAUGAAAAUUUAGUUUGGAAAAAUAUUAUUUUGAUCGUCUUUGAAUCCCUCUAUGUAUAUGUAUAUAUAUAAAGGGAGGAUCCUUGUGCAUGGAUGGAUAGAUUGACAGUCGUUGUUUGCGGGUGUAGCAUCAUCAAGAUUCACAUGCAAAUGCACGGCGGUGAUCCUAUCAAUCUCUCUCUCUCUCUCUCUCUCUCUCUCUCUCCAUCUCCAUGAACCAAAGUUCUUUGAAAGUGAGAAUCUUGAUGAUGCUGCAUCGGCAAUAAACGACUAUACAAAAGGAAGACUCAUACACAGUUUAGAAAGGUGAUUCUUUUCUUUUUCUUUUUUUUCUUUUUCUUUCUGUUGCUGUCAGUUGGUGGUGGAUAUUACUCAGUAGCAUUUCUUCUUUUGGCCUUUGGAGUGUGGAUUCUUUCUUUUUGAGAGAACUGUGACGAUCUUAUAGGUUAUUCAACGACCUUUGGGUAGCUGACUUUGCAGAUCUAUGAUUAUUCCCCUGCUAGGAAACUAUUCUGGGACGCAAAUCGUAUCUUUUAUUAGUUUCUUGUUGCAGAUGUGAUGGGACUUCGUCAAAUAAGUCGCUCAAGAAACAAGAAGAAGAAGAGGAAGAAAAUCUUGAUGAUGAUGCAUAUUCUUUAAUUGGAAAGGGAAAUUCCAAGCUAUGCUAUGGAGGGUUUUGGCUCAUAAGAUUGAAGAAACUCUUAGGUGGCCAGUUUUUAACUAUUUGAGCAGAAUCAGCUGAGAAUAAAGGCAAGA